GACUGUUUCGACAUAAUGUGUCAUAAUUACAUUAAACCAUCUACAUUAUAAUAUGAUCAAUUAGUAUAAUUAGAUAUCUACCUAGUUAAAAUAGUCACAGCAUCAUGUAAUAUACCUAUUAUUUAUGAUUUUUUUUUUAAUGUGCAGUCAAACUAAGAGCAAAAAAAAUAAAAAAUGUUUUUAUAGAUUUGUAUUUUAACUGAAUGCUAACAUUUUGUUUCACCUUACAUAUAGGUAUACCCUAUAGCAAAUUAAAAUUGUUAUGUGCUGCACUCUUUAAUCAAAUUAGUAAUAACAUUGUCGUCAUUCAUAUACCUGCAUGCAGCCGUUAUUGCAAACAUGACUUGACCACACUUUACACUAUUGUAAGGCCCAAAUAGAGUUUAUCGACGACAAUUUUACUAUGAUUAUUAUAAUAUUACCAUUUACCAAUAUGAUAAUUAAUAAAUAAUAGCCGUACCAACAAUAUAGUGUCUAUACACCGUCCUCCUAAAUAGUAUUCGUAGGUAACUGUAUAUGACUCCUUGAUAUAAUCACCUGUCCGCGUUACCGUUUAUGGUUACAGUGUCACGGUUCAUGUGCUCAAACGGUUGCGGCCGGUCGUACAAGUACAAAAAAGGAGUUACCCAACACCUGCGCUACGAGUGCAGCACCCCUCCAAUGUUCAAGUGUUCGCUGUGCCACAAGACGUUCAAGCAGCGUAGCAACCUCAAGUUCCACAUUUCCAGCAUUCACCGCUUAUUCAUCAAAUGAGUGUAGACUGUUUCACAGGAAUAUAUUUGAGUUAACGAUCAAUAUUUUACGUUUAAUAAGAAAUACCUAUAAUUUACCAAUCUUACAAGUCGUGAUAUUAUAUUAAUAUUAGAUCAAUAUGCAGUCAAAAGAAAAAUAUAAAAUACAAUUUACCUUAUAGAUGUGUAUUAAUUUACUAAAUACUAACAUUCACCUUAAUAUAUUCUUAACAAUCAAAAUGAUGAGUGCACGCAUGAAUAAAAUAAGAUUCGUCACUCCUACUUGCAACUGAUUAAGCUACAAAAAUCGAUGACAGUGUAUACUUGUAGUGGUAUUGUGACACAGAAAGUGUUUACCAAUAAUAUACUUGCUAUAAUAAUAUAAGAAAUAAUAACUGUACCAUACAUAAUACAUAUAAACCAUAAAAACGUAGAUAGGUAACCGUGAUCCAUAAUAAUUGCAUGACGUUUUUACCGUUUAUGAUUGCAGUAUCCCGAUUUGUUUGCUCGAAUGGAUGUGGCCGGUCAUACAAGUACAAGCAAGGAGUUAUGCAGCACCUGCGUUACGAGUGUGGCAUGGCUCCGAAAUUUAAGUGUCCGGUGUGUGGCAAAACGUUCAAGCAGCGUAGCGCCUUAAAGGCCCACAUUGUUGUAGUCCACCAUAUACUCAUCGAUUGAGUAGACCAUUUCACUAAAAUUGAAUUGAAUAAACUAUUUUAUGUUUAAUAGUGUCCCGAUUCGUGUGUCCGAACGGAUGCGGCAAGUCGUACAAGUACAAGCAAGGAGUUAUUCAGCAUCUGCGUUACGAGUGUGGCGUGAUUCCGAAGUUUAAGUGUUCAGUGUGUGGCAAAACGUUCAAACAGCGUAAUGCCAUGAGGUUCCACAUUGCCAACGUUCACCGCAUGAUCACUGAUUGAGUAGACAAUUUCACUGGAAUAUUAUUUAAUAUAUUGUAACUUACAAUUAUUAUUUUACAUUUAAUAAGAGGUACCUAGCUUACAAAUUGUAUUAUUUGUGGUAUUAUAUUAAUAUUGGAUUAAUGUGCUGUCAAAAGAAGAAAUAAAAACUACUUUAUAGAUGUGUA